CACAUACGACCAUACCUGGCAGAAAGCUCGGGAUCCCGUCCGCUCUCCCCUAGAUAAGCUGCCAAGGGCCAGACUAGUACUCAGGUGGGUGACCACUGGGGAAUCCCUGGUGUUGUAUGUUUUUGCUCAUUUUUG
rnacentral:rRNA from 1 species